rnacentral:rRNA from 1 species
UACGGGAGGCAGCAGUGGGGAAUAUUGCACAAUGGGCGAAAGCCUGAUGCAGCUAUGCCGCGUGUAUGAAGAAGGCCUUAGGGUUGUAAAGUACUUUCAGCGGGGAGGAAGGCGAUGCGGUUAAUAACCGCGUCGAUUGACGUUACCCGCAGAAGAAGCACCGGCUAACUCCGUGCCAGCAGCCGCGGUAAUACGGAGGGUGCAAGCGUUAAUCGGAAUUACUGGGCGUAAAGCGCACGCAGGCGGUCUGUUAAGUCAGAUGUGAAAUCCCCCGGGCUUAACCUGGGAACUGCAUUUUGAAACUGGCAGGCUUGAGUCUUGUAGAGGGGGUUAGAAUUCCAGGUGUAGCGGUGAAAUGCGUAGAGAUCUGGAGGAAUACCGGGUGGCGAAGGCGGCCCCUGGGACAAGACUGACGCUCAGGUGCGAAAGCGUGGGGAGCAAACAGGAUUAGAUACC